UACGUAGGGGGGCUAGCGUUGUCCGGAUUUAUUGGGCGUAAAGAGCGUGUAGGCGGCCAUGUAGGUCCGGUGUGAAAACUCGAGGCUUAACCUCGAGAUGUCAUCGGAAACCAUUUGGCUAGAGUCCGGAAGAGGAGAGUGGAAUUCCUGGUGUAGCGGUGAAAUGCGCAGAUAUCAGGAAGAACACCAAUGGCGAAAGCAGCUCUCUGGGACGGUACUGACGCUGAGACGCGAAAGCGUGGGGAGCGAACAG
rnacentral:rRNA from 1 species